UACGGGGGGGGCAAGCGUUGUUCGGAAUUACUGGGCGUAAAGGGUUCGUAGGCGGCCAACUAAGUCAGACGUGAAAUCCCUCGGCUUAACCGGGGAACUGCAUCUGAUACUGGAUGGCUUGAGUUCGGGAGAGGGAUGCGGAAUUCCAGGUGUAGCGGUGAAAUGCGUAGAUAUCAGGAGGAACACCGAUGGCGAAGGCAGGUCUCUGGGCCAUAACUGACGCUGAGAAGCGAAAGCAUGGGGAGCGAACAGG
rnacentral:rRNA from 1 species